UUUCGGGAAUUAGUGGCGGACGGGUGAGUAACACGUGAGAACCUACCUUCAGAAUGGGGAUAACAGUUGGAAACGACUGCUAAUACCCGAUGUGCCGAGAGGUGAAAGAUUUAUCGUCUGAAGAAGGGCUCGCGGCUGAUUAGCUAGUUGGUAGGGUAAAGGCUUACCAAGGCAACGAUCAGUAACUGGUCUGAGAGGAUGAGCAGUCACACUGGAACUGAGAAACGGUCCAGACUCC
rnacentral:rRNA from 1 species